AGAAAACCCAUUGAUUAAAACACUGUAAGUUAAUGCAUCAGGCACAAUUUGAUGUUUUGUGAGCAUUUCCUCAAACAGAUCGAUUGCUUCUUUUAGUCUGCCGCUUCCACAAAGACCAUCCAUCAGAGUUGAAUAGGUGAUCAAGUUAGGAAAAGAUACCUUUGACUUUUCCAUCUCUUUUACCACUUCAAAUGCAGACGCUAGAUCUCCCCUUUUGCAGUGGUGUUUAACCAAAAUGUUAAAGAUGCAUGUAUUGGGUUCCAAAUGUUUUCAAAAAAAAAAAAAGUCCCCCCCCCCCCCCCCCCAUUCUGACUCAUUUUUGUUGGAUAAUAUUGAAAAGAUAAAGCACAUCGACACUGUAAUUGGACAGGGAAGGUAUGAUGUUUGCUGCCCCAUGAUGUCUGCCUGGGAUCUUCACAAAGCUUGGCCAGAGGUUGAUUUCAUAAUUGUUCCUGAUGCUAGGCAUUCUGCUAAUGAGCCGGGGACAUCAGAACAACUGGUUGCUGCAACCAAUAAAUUGAAACACAUCAUCAAGGAGAAGUAAAGCUAAAGUUUUCAGCCAUUAGUUUUUAUUUGAUCCUGUAUUGUGAACCUAAGGUAGUUUAUUUCCCAUUUGUUGGAUUUGAAGUUCAUGUGAAGAGUCGACAACUUGUUAGAGGGGCAUCCUUUCAGUUCUGUUUCGUGAAUUUGAUGACUAUACUUCAAGUAUAUGAACUUGGUGACAUAAUAAUAAUAAUGGGGAUGAAUAUAGCGAUUUUUUAAAAGAUUUUGAAAUUGUUUCAAGAAUGUAUUUAGAGUGAGAUGAAUAUAUAAAAUUUGUGUGGAUAUAUAUUGUUUAAAUGAAAUAAUUCAAUAAGGAAAAUAUUGGAAUGUAACGUGGAUGACAAUAGUAAUUUUUUAAAAUUUUAAUAUUUUUGUAGGGAAUAUAUAUAAUAAAAGAAACAAAUUAUUGUGUUAAAUUGCAAAUGGAUGAUAAGUAGUAAAGUGUAAAAUUCGAGUGUCCAUUUAUGAUCUGUGACAGUGGAGCUUUGUGUUAUUUUCCAAAAGGAAUGGGAUGUUUUUGUAUUUGUCAUAAACUAUGGGGGAGGAUUGUGCAGUUUUAUCAAGGCAUAGAAAGGGGGGGAAGGGAAAACGAAAAAACCUAUUGUACAGUUAGGGCAGACGAAUUCUGCAGAUUGCGUCCCCAAUCAAAGGUUUAAAACCCUUCUCUCCCAAAUGCCAAAUCACAGAUUCCUUUUCUCUGUUUAAGUUUCCGCAGACUGCAAUCAUUACUAUUAGAUAGAUUUUUAGAUAGUGAAAAUAGCGGAACUAUAAUUUAUUUAUUUAUUUAUUUAUACAGAUUUAUUCAAUAAAUUAUCAAAUUGGGGGAGAAGGGUUUUUUAUUUAAAAAUAUACCCCUGUGUAUAGAUUCAUAUAUAUUGAAUAAUUUAGUGAGAGACUGCGAGAAGCAAGGAGAGUGAAAAUGUCGAAGAAGAAAGCAACGAUGACUCUCAAAGACUUCCAUGGCGGUUCCAUUCCUUCCGAUCUUCGACUCCCCUCUGCACCUGGCCUGUGAGUUCUUUUUAUCUUUUUGACGCUUCCAUUUCAUUAUUGAUUAUACCGGAAGAAGUAUACAUGUCAAGUCUGUUUUUGUAAUGUGAUUUUGGGAAAAUGUCAGGUUUUUUUUUUUUUUUUUUGAGUUCAAUACUAUACUUAUUCAUUUGGUCUCAAUUCAAGAUCAUUUUUUUAAGUUGAAUUUUAUACCCAACAAAUUGUAGUGUCAUUUCCCAUUAAUUCCUUGAAUCCAGGUUUAUUUGUUUAUUUAAUUUGAGGAAAUGUUUAGUGGGCAUUUUAUUUAUUUUGUAAAUCAGAACAGUAAAAUACUGGAUUUAGUAUUUGAAAUUUUGAAUAUGGUUCAUAUUUUUGGACAGAAUGGCAAGACCUGCAGAUCGAGGUAGUUUUGAUCAGCAGUCGCCAUGGGGAAAUUCGAUGGGUAGGUCCAGUCAACGCUUGAGGCCGGCAUCAGCUGGGUCAGCUAGGAACUUUGAUGACAAGACCCCAUUUUUAAGUCACAGUGCCCACAUUGGCCGCAAUUUUGAUGAGGAUGAACGCAAGCCUUUGGAUGGGUUGUCAGGUUCUCGACGAACUGUCACUGAUGAGAGCAACCGUGCUCCGCCAAGUCGUGUGGUAGAACCUAAGAUAGAUAGUUUGGCUGGUGCUAGAGUUGGUAGUCAGCUGUCUUCAACCCCUCCCUCUCAUUUGUCUAGUGAUACAACUGUUAGUUCUUAUGCUGGAAAUGCUGGUAGGCAUAGUGAAGUUCAUAACAUAGGGUCGAAUAUUCAAAAUUUUAGGUCAGCUGUUGCUGGUUCCUAUUCAAAUCCAUGGGGUGUGAAGAAGGAGGUGGCACAUGUGAGUGACCCUGUAUCUGCUUCAUGGUCAGCUCCGGAUGUUGCAGUGAAGCUGUCACAUGCUAGUGCCAUUGAGAAGGUCUACUCUGGUCGGUGGCAUUCGCAACAUGUUCAUCCUCAAAAAGAUGUUGAGGCCAUUGGACAGUCGGAACCUGAGAGAGAAUUUCAUUGUCGGGGCAAAGACAUGUCCAACAGGAAUAUUUACAAUGGUACAAAUGUGUUAGGUGGAACUGACUAUCAUGAUAUUGCAUUGGCGAUGCAUAUGGAAAGGAGUCUGAUUGCUGGUGAUGGGAUUCACAAUGGUGGAAAGGAGACACUGUCUCAUGAUAGAGUCAGGAGUACCAUGUACACGGAGAUGCAUGGGAGGAAUCCUUCCGUUAAUGACAAGGAAUUUCAGCCACGUAGCACUACUGGAGUAUCUGGUGAUACUGAGUUACAGUCUCCAGGGACUUCAGAAACAUCAGAGCGACCCAAAUUGAAGUUACUUCCAAGAUCCAAACCGUUAGAGGAUUUAGAGCUUCCUCUCGAUUAUAAACAGGUAAAAGUUAGUGUUUUAACAUUCUGAUUUUUCUAUUGAACUGGAAAUCAAGUAUAAUUUAAUGUAUCUUUGCAAUUCGUCUUUCUGAGUGAAGGGACGCCAGCUGCCAAGUGAUCCGAUUCAUUUGAGGGUCGACAAUGAAUUACCCAGAACUGCAAUUCCUGUAGAACCUGGGUUUACUGGAUCAAUGGUCGUUAAUCAUGCGGUAGAGCGCCCAAAAUUGAGAUUAAAGCCUUGCUCACUACCUCUUGAACAAUUGGAGGGAAACACUGAAAUCAGAAGGUCCAUCAACUUUUACUAACUUGCUCACAGAAUUUUUUGUCGCUUAUUUCUUCUCGACCUGUUUGCAUUCUUAGUCUAUUUGAUUUUUUUUUAUUUUACUCGUGACAGGAUAAAUAGAUUACAUUACUAUUGAUGAAACUUUAUAGUAAUUGACAGAUGAUAAACUGAGGUAAUUAUACUGUUUCAAAUAGCAAUAGAUGUAACUUUUAUAAAAUUUUAAUUGCCAAGGAGAUGCCAAAGGUAUUGUGCUCCAAGGAGAUUCUAAUAAAGGUAUUGUGCUCGGCACAAACUUGGUCAUUUUUCUCAGCCUCAUCAAAUUGUUGCAACUUAUAACGACUUCAACAAGGUACCUUAAUGUUGACAAUGAGUGCAUUUUAGGAAUAGGAAAUUGGGUUUUCAGCUUGCUAAGUCCGCAUGUUUUCAGUGUUAGAAUGGCAGAGAAGUUACAACUUGAACUUUUUAGCCCACUCUCAUGCAAUAAGUAACACUCAAAGACCAACCACUGUAGGUACCCUUUUCUUGAGGUUUUCACUGCCAAUGACGAUGGUAAGUUGUAGCACGAGACUUAGCAAUCACCUGAGUUGGUGGUGUAGAAGCAGUACCAGUAGGUUCUGGAUUGGAGCAGCAGUGACUACAUUAACUGGUUGUAACAUUAAAGGGACGUUGGCAAUCAGUUAUAACCUAUUAUAACUUAUAAUAGAAGUAGUAAUGUAACUGCAGUAGCAAAAAUACCAAUACUAGAGUCUGUUAACUUCAGCUUAAGAAAAGAAUUAAGCUUGUUGUACGUUAUUAUUUAUCAGAUAUAAAAAAAAAUUCAGAAGAUGGUACUUCUUUUACCAUCACAAUUUACCUUUCUUAUGCUUGUUUCUCUUGGAAUUUUAGUUUCUCCCAGUGAGAACUCUCUUGUUGAUCCUCUCCAUUUCUGUCUUUGUCAUUGUCGCAGAAACACUGUGUUCGCAGGGGCUCGUCCACGAGAAGUGGUAAGUACAUUUCCGUCAUUGUCAAAUUAUCUGAAAAAUUCAUUUGGAAAUUUCAAGUUAUGUAAAUCUUCUUUCUGCUUGAUGCCUUCUAAACCUCCAUUUAUAGGCUUUUUGGAUACUCAUUUUUUAACUCGGUCUUGCUGCUACUCCAGAUGUGGUUUUAUCUUAAUAAUUGAUGGUUGUGGGUCUUUUCUGCAUCUUUUCCGUAUGGUUGCUCCAUGGUUAGCUUUAUUAUCGUGAUUGUCAAUCUGUCUACCAGGUUCUGAAGGAUCGGGGGAUUGAUGGUGUUGCCGUUAACCUUUAUGACAGUCAACCUCCUUCUCGGUAUCAAUAUAAUUUCAGUUCUUUUUAAUGAGAGUUUCUAUGAAUUAAAGAUUUGUACAUGUUCACACAACUUCUUUUCUCAUCUUUAUUUGCAUUAUUUACUGCGUGAAGGAUCAAUCAAGAUGCUCCCAAGAUGGAUCCAGUGUCGGUGCAAGUUACUCCUGCCGGUUAUAGUGAGAAAGCUAAAAAAUUUCUUGGUGAUCAACGGGUAGCGAGGAGUUCUGAUAGGCGAGAUCAACGUAUGGACAUUGAAAGAACAGAUGCACGGAGGAGGAACAAAGGAAAUGAAAGUUGGAGGAAUUACAGAGAAAUUGUAAAACACGAUGACCUGCAGCCGCAGCAACAGGAGAGGGACCUGUCACCUGACACCUGGUGCAAGCCUGUCGAAAGUCCAAAACCCGACUCCACGCCUGCCCCUGAGCAGCGUCAUGGGAAAGUGGCUUCCGCUCUUGAGCUUGUGCAGGCCUUCUCCAGACCAGUCUCUGAUCCGACUAUUGCUGAUCGUCUUUCUGGCCCCCAAGGCAUUCCGAGCCAGAGUCAGAUAUCUUUUUCUCGGUUAACAGGUUGAGGCCCGAAGCCUCAGAUUAAUGGUUACUGAAUUUUCGCUGUAGCAGAUACAUUUAAAACGAGGGAAACUUUCACCCCCUCCAAAUUUUCAUUUACACCUGAAUCCUGGUGGGUUAUUUUCCCUAGUUCAUAGUGAUCAUUGAGAAGGGAUCCGAUUGGUACUUGACGCAACGUUCGAGCCACAUACAAACAAGAAAAUAACAUACAUUUUUUCUUCAUGUUGACAAUAAUCACAUAACUGUUGUAUUUCAGGAAAUUUAUCUAUUGACAGAUUUCCUAUUGAAGUUCAUCUAGCCUAAUUUGGGAUUUAUGAGUUUGCGAGUGGAUUUAUUUUUCCAUUGAUCACAUUUGCCGCUGGGCUUUUAGUUUCCGGUGAUGCUCUUUCUUUCCAUUGCAGUAACUAAUUAAUUUUUUGACAUGUAAUAGAUGUUUCAAAUUUGCUUGUUUAAGCUUAAACAAUAUACUAGUAAGUAAAUAAAUUAAUUUCAUAUAAAAUAAAUAUUUCUAAUAAUUAAUUUUGGCACAUUAAGCUUUAUCAAAUUUGGUCUGCUGCACAUUAUAGACAUCGCGGAUAUGAAUUAUUGGUCAUGUCCUUGCUCUCUGUAUAUCUGUUCUUAAUUUACAUUAUUAGGUUCCAUUUGAUUCCUAUUUUUUGGCCAAAAAAUGAAAAAUAUGAUCGUUAUUCAUUACACUACGUCAUCAUAUUUGACUUUUUACUUCUUAUGUGGAUUCCGUAACAAUUAUAUUUUUCAUGCUCAUUCUUAUUCUUAUAAGAAUGAGAAUCAAAUGGGACUUAAUAAAUUUAUUACAGUAAAGUAGUUGAUAAUUUAAGGAUGUGGGUCCUAUUUAUGGAGGUUUUAUUUAUUUAUUUUGAGGAAGUACUUUAAUAUUUAUUUACUCCUGUCAAUCUAUUAAACUUUCUUGACAACAUUGCAAUUUCAAGAAAAAAUUUAAUACAAAGAAGGUAAGUAAUGCAAUGAUAUUGCCUACAGGGCACAAGCAAUGUGACUUUCCCAAAAGCCUUAUGAGAAAGAGUAAAGGCUUCCAUGUAAGAAAUAGUUGAGAUCACUUGUAUUAAUACUUUAAAACGACUCCUCGACUGGGCAAGGGACAUCGAUGACAGUUUGCAGCAGUCUCUUGCUUCUUCUCGGCUGCAGUUGCUGCUCUAAGCACUCUAUCAGUGCUUGGGAAAUCGGAAAGGGAAAUCCUUUUCAUGUUUCAUAUAGGCUCCUACUAUGCGGAAAUGGAGAAAUUUUGCAACUUUUGAUUUAAAUGGACACAGUUUCAAGUUCACAAUUACUUUUAAAAUCAUCGGAGAUUUGUAUUCUCUAUGUAUAAAUCUAUUUGAUCUAACCCUAUUUGGCUCAGAUUUUAAUAUGAGUUAAAAUCAAACAAACAAUGUUAAUUACAUUUUCAUGGGUUCCACAAUUUUUUGACCACACAUUUCGAAAAAUUUCUAUCAAAAUCUGUUAAAAAUCUAAUUUUAAUCCUCACCAAACAUCCUGCCAUGUUGUUUGAUGACACUUGAAAAAAAAGAAAAAAAGAAACAUGGUCAUCUUUCCAAUGGUUGAAAAAGUAGAGAAAAUGAUGUAAUGUGUUAAUGGUUAGUACAUAGUGCUGCAUUGACUAGAUUUAGUUCUUAACAUUUGAUGUAUUACAUAUUGAUGGAACUAUUCUCAAGUUGCGGUUAAAUCAGUAAUUGGAUUUCUAGAAAAUCACACAACUAGAGCAGACUAAGGUCAACCCAAUUUUAUCAUAACUGCAUUUUUCUACCUACCAACCGGAGUCCUUAAACUUCACAAAAUAUGCCAUUUCUGUCUUCAUUCAAUUCUAUUUCACACACACAUCUUCAAACUUUCAAUCUGUGCACACUAAUUGGAAACCUGCAACAAAUAGCCUACGUGACAAGUUGAUCCCAAUCAGUAAAAAGGUACAUUCUUUGUGUUGUAUUCGAGAAAACCGGCAUUAGUAGAUUUUGCAAAUUCCAUAAUCAGCUUGAAAAGUUCAAUAGAAAAGAAAAUAAAAAUGCAGCUACGAGAAUAAAAAAACUAAUUUCAAAUAUAUGAAUUAUUUUAGAUACGUUAGUAAUACAUGUUUGUAGACAUACAUUUGUUCUACUACUACAUAAAGAAAGAAUCAGUUUAUUGCUUUAGAAGUCCUUCAUGAUUAGCUUAUCAAGAAGUUUAAACGCAGGUAAUAGCUUUCUCUCCCUGCAAACUACAUCAAUUAGUAGACUCCAUGUAUUUGGCUCUGGUUUAAACCCCAUAUCCAUCAAAAGGAACGACGUAACAGCAGCUUCAUUUGCCUUUCCGGCCUCACAAAGACGAACCAGUAACUCAUUUGAUGUAGCGAAAUGGGGCAGAAAACCCCUAUCCAGCAUCAGACGCAACAAAUUAUUCGCCUUCUCCAAUUCACCUUCCUUGCACAAGAAAUUUAACACAAUCCUGUAACUAGCCUUGUUAAGAUAAACACCAUCAUAUGGUAACCUCUCGAGCAUGUUGAGUGCCUCAUCAAAUCUACCUUCUCUGCACAAUCCCCCGAGUAUUACAUUAAACGUCACCUCAUCUGCUUUGCACUCAUUUUCUUUCAUCUCCUUGAGCAGAACAAUGGCUUCAUCAGUUCUAGCAGCUCUGCACAAGAAGUUAAUUAAAGUGGUAAAAAUAACAGUAUCAGGUUUCAGACCAGCACUUUUCAUCUCAUCAAAAGUUCCCUUGGCUUCCUCCAGUCUUCCCUCCUUACAGAACCCAUUCAUUAAUGCUGAGUAAUUGAUUACAUUAGGGUUGCAUCCAUUUUUCUUCAUGAAUUCCAUUAUCUUCCUAGCUCUGUCAGUUUUUCCUCCACGAGAAAACCCAUUGAUUAAAACACUGUAAGUUAAUGCAUCAGGCACAAUUUGAUGUUUUGUGAGCAUUUCCUCAAACAGAUCGAUUGCUUCUUUUAGUCUGCCGCUUCCACAAAGACCAUCCAUCAGAGUUGAAUAGGUGAUCAAGUUAGGAAAAGAUACCUUUGACUUUUCCAUCUCUUUUACCACUUCAAAUGCAGACGCUAGAUCUCCCCUUUUGCAGUGGUGUUUAACCAAAAUGUUAAAGAUGCAUGUAUUGGGUUCCAAAUGAAAGUCUUUCCGUG
rnacentral:lncRNA from 1 species